rnacentral:lncRNA from 1 species
UUUUUUUUUUUUUUUAAAUUUUUUUCCNUACCUGUUCAAUUAUAUAGGUAUAUCUGUAGGGUAAAUUCUUAAAAGUGGGAUUGCUACAGCAAUAGGUGCGUGCAUUUUUAUUUUAAAAGAUGUUGCCCUCCAAGAUGUGCCGUUGUCAGAGAGUGUUUUAGGGUUCAGAUUUCCUUAUCAUCUCGUCAAACCCAGGCAUUAUGAAAGUCUUGAUCUUUGCUCACCUGAUAGGUGAAAAAUGUACACUAUCUUAUCUUAAUUUGCGUCUUUGACCAUGAGUGCAGUUGAUCUUUUUAUUUAUCAGCACUUUAAUAUACAUGUUAUGUGGUCUCUUAAUAAUAGAGCCAGGCGUCUUAUACAGAGCACUUCUUUCUAAGUGUCAUUCAUUUAUGUUAAAAAUAACAGCUUUAUUGAGAUAUAAUUCACACACUGUAAAAUUUACCCCUUAAAAGUAUACAAUUUGUGAGUUUUAAUCAUUUGUUUUAAAACUGAGUACCAACCAUUGCUUUUUAUUUAUAGUAAAUAACUUGAUAGACCUUGAGGUCCUCUCUUUCUGUCCAAGCUCAUCAGCAUAUUAGGCUCAAAAUAUAAAGUGGGAAGUGCAGCUUUUCUUGUUAUUUUAACAGUCCGUAGGCCUCCCUUCCCCGAAGAGUGCAGUCGGUCUAGCUGGGUUCUGAGAUGGAAUUGUGUGUGACAACUGCUUUGGAAUCUCAGUGCCUUGGUACUGGACGGGGAGUGAUUUCUUUUAACUAACUUAUAGUUGAAACUGAUUUCCAACUGCUGGAGGUGAUACAGACUUUUCAAAUUUUUCUGAAAUUUUAAAAAAUACAAAACCCGAAGUGAAAAAGACUUCCGAGGUAAAAAGAUUUUGAAAAAUACGGUAAGUGUUUAAAAUUUGUCAGUUUUUUAAAAUUUUUUAUUUUUUAUUAACAUGGGCGAUUCAACUCCUUUGUAGCUACUGCUAUGGUAAUUUUUCAUUCCAGAGAUUUCUUACUAUCAACUGAAGCGUGUGUGUGAUAAGAUGGUCGGUUACAUUGCUUGGCUCUAAUGUGUGUGUUUCUGUUAUGUUUCACGCAGAUAUUUCCGUGGGGAGAAAAGUACGAAGGUAACUUGUUAGGCUGAGUUUUUGAGUAGAAUCCUUCUGUGCUCUGGCCUUGGCUCCCAUCCAACAGGGCCUCAGGCAGCUCCUGUCCGAGGGGUCUCAGGAAGUAGUAGCUCUCAGUACUGGCCAUGGGACCCUCAUCUGUAUGGUGGUUCCACUCCGGAGAAGGUGUCCACGGAGGUUCAUAGUAGGUGGUUUUCUUUUGAUUUUGAUGGAACUAAGUUAUUCUUUCCUUUUGAUUUUAUAAAUAUUUUAAACAUUUAGUUUCCUAUUUUUCUUCUUAGUGAAAUAUCUUUAAAAUGUGAUACUUUGCAUUUUAACCCCCUCAACUUCUGUGAUUUCUCCCUCUUUUUAUGCUUCUUCUGUUUGGAAAGUUAUUUUUGAUUGGUUUGGUUUUAAUCCUUAAAUUAAAAUGUCUCCUCUUUUUCUCUCUUGACAUCUCUUUUCUUGUUACCAGUUUUUUCAUGUUUUAUAGUUUUUCCUCCCAUAAAGUCCCUUGGCCUUUGGCUUGUAGUUUUGAUUAAAGCGGAUUUUUUUCUUGGGCUUUUAAUUAGGUUUUCUUUUUCGUUAGCUUUUCUUAGGGAGAUUGAAGAUGGGGCUGACCGAUACUUGGGUCAGUGGUAUAAUUACUUAGGAUGAGACUAAUGUGAACAUUGAGUGGCUUGAAUACAGUGUUUAGCUUAGUUUAUGGAAAUUUCCAUUUCCAUUUGAGGGCUAUUUCCUGGCUUAGAGGCAGCGCCCUAAAAGAAUACCAAAAUCAAAUUCUUAGUGCUAUGUGCAUUUGGGUCAAGGUGAGAUAUGAGAAGUGGGUAAUGUAUAGGGAACGGUAUUUAUAACUCUAGAAAUAGUGUUUUGCUAAGAGAUGUGAUGUUGAUUUGAUAGCAGAGAAUAACUGGGUCUUUUAACCACACUCUGUAUGUGCUGUGAAAUUCAUCUUUUUUCUUGCUUCACCCAAAUAUCCUGAACCAGAGUGGUCAAUGAGCAUUAUAAAUAAGUGUGGUUAGUUAGUGUGAGAAGACCUAGAGUCUGAUGCCACUUGUACCAUGGGUUUCAAGUGUGAUGAAGUGCCCUGCUUCCUUAGGUGUCAGAUGGGGACCGUAGCACGUAAAGUGGAAGAAAAAAUAGAUAUGGAAAUGAAUUGAAAAUGCUUUAGUUAGCUUUUUCUUUUACAGGAACCUAGCUGUUGUAGCCCACAGCCGUUACUUAAUUUAGCAGUGUUUAUCCCCUGUGAUGUUAUUUCUAGAGAAUUCCACUGUUUUCUUGAUGCAUUUCUUGUGCAAACACUACAUGCAGAUGUAUUUGUUCAAAAUGUUUUAAUGCAUAUGCUACUGAGUGCACAGUUAGCGUUCACCGUAGUAGAGAAUUUAGGUGUUUUGUCCUAAAAUAAGACUUUUGUUUUCAUUUUAUGACAAGAGACAUCAAAAAGGUAUGAGUGUGAUAAUGCAUUGCCUCUUUUUUUUCUUUUUUUAACGAAUUCAGCACUUUUGAAAUUGCAGAAAUUUGUAAAUAUAUUUUUGGUAGAAAACUACAGUGAGGAUGGCAUUGGUAGGUUGUUGAGUUAGGAAUAGGAGCAGUUUUUCCUGCCACGUUGGUCAUAAGCCCAGGAACUUUUAAUAUUAAGAUAUAGGGAGAGCUAGAGUUACCUUGUAACCCCGACAUGAUUUAAGAGGCUGUUUUUCUUUCUCAAGUUGCUUGUUCCAGUCUUAUCGCUCAGGAAGGAAACUUUGAAGAUUUUUUUUUAACUUUCUGGGAGUCAAAGAUUAAUUUGUAAUUAAAACAGUUAGUAUGGGUCUUUCACUCCCCACCCCCCUUAAAAAAAAACUGUCCUCAGUUGAGGAGAAUUGUCUUGUUAAAGUGCUUACUUUUCCCAUGAGGGAUUCAGAUAAUUUGUUUUCUCUUUGGUUUGGAUAUUAGGGGUAAUUUCUCCCCUUAAAAAUCGAGUUCUGAAGGAAGUGGCUGUAUUUUUAUCAUUAUCCUAAAAGACUACAGGUGCUGACAAAUUCCUUGCAUUCCCAAAGUCCAUUUUACUUGGGUCUUGGCUGCCUUCUUGCGAUUUUCUAGAAUGCUGAUUGCCAGCCUAGCUUGAUGAGGGACUGGCUUUGAAAUCCAAGGCCUCGUUGGAGGCAUCGAAGGACUGUAGAGGUUGGAAAUGUUAAGGUUACAGAAUGCUUGUGGACUGCCACAUGCUAUUGAUGUGCAGCAUGUAGUGGUUCAGGGUCCUUGGAAAUGUAUGCUUUUGAUACUGUUGUCAUCUGGGUGGGCCUCAGCCCCUCUGUGCAUUGCUUAGAAUUGAUGCGCUUUAAGCUCCCAGUAUACGUGGAUCCCCGACCCACUGGUCGAGGCCAGGGAUCCUCAUGGAUACUAGUCGGAUUCAUUUCUGCUGCACCACAACAGAACUCCAAAGUUUUCCUUUCUUCGUUUUUUCUGUUUUGCGCUUGAUUUUUAGAGAAUUAUAGGUUUGAAACUAUUGUCUUUUUCUUAAACAUGGUGUGCUCCUUUUUCUUGUCCUAUUGUUCCUAUGGAUGUGUUUAAUUUGAAAAAGAUUUCAGAAGAAUAAUGCUUUCUGUGUACCUAUACCAAUCAUGAAAAGGAAAGCUCAAUCUUGUUUUUCUGAAAAGAUGGAGCAAGUGAUGAAUAAGCGAAACAUAACAGUCAUUACAGAAACCACUUGUGAUUUCAGGCCGUAGCUUCUAGGAGGCCGCUCUCAGCUACAUGUCCUUUUCUCUGGGUAGUUGGCUUUGGUAAGGGAGCCUCUGGGUGAGACCUUGGGCUUGUGGGCAGUCCUUUCUCUGAGUGUCUCUUGCAGGGCGUGGUACCAGGCCUUGGGAGCACAAAGGUAAGUAAGAUGUGUCCCUGCUCACAGAGGUCAUCACCAAAAGGAGGGAACAGAUGGGAAUAAAAAUCACUAAAAUACAGUCUGAAAAGAACUGGUCGAAGCAGGAAUAUCAUGCUCUGACAGACCAGACCUGGGAACCUCCAUAUGCCGCGGGAGCAGCCCAAGAAAUGACAAAAAGACCAAAAAAAAAAAAAAAAAAAAAAAGGAAAAUAGAACCUACAGCCCUUGAUGAUUGAGGGGAGAAUCGAGGAUGCUCCUAGAUUUCUGGCUCCUUCCCUCUCACCUCUAAGCUUGCCCUUCGAUGCCUGCUUUGGGAAAAAUGAAUGUGGACCCUUUAACUACUUUCCCUUGGGCAGCCAGCAGGAUGUAGGAGGCUGCAGGAGGAGGAUUCCUUGCUGGCUCCAGGGCGCUUGCCUGGCAGGCUCCUGUAGCAUGUGGGGCUUCUCCGUGUCCAGGCUCCUGCUGCUCUGUCCCUGCCCGCCCUCUCCCUCAGAGUGCCUCCGUGAGAGGCUUCCCCACAAACAACUUUCUUUGUCAUUCUAGAGGACAGAUUUCUGGCAAGUUCCAGAGGGCAGAUUUCCAGACAUUCUGCUGAUGUAAGCCCUCUCCAACAAGGUCUGGAUCUCAAGCCCUAGGACUGGGGGGCUCUUGAGGGGGCUCUGACUCAGCUGCAAGGGUGUGGUGAUGAUUUAUUAUGCUGUAUGAUCAUUUCUGUUGAAUUGAUGUCAUCUGUUCCUUUAUUCUUUAGAGUUCUUUUUACCUCUUACUAGCCAAUUCCCAGUCCCUGCUGUAGUUAAUCAUACCUUUUUUAAAGACAACUUUUCUUGUUCACAUUACUGUGUUUCUCGCUCCUGAUUGGACUCAGGCUGAUACAGUGCUCUGAUAUGACCCCACUGGGGAGAGGGAUGGACAGUGUAUUCGGUUUGAGACGUGCUCAAUUUGAAGUACAGGACACCUGUGUGGAGCUAUCCAGGAGCUGGUCAUGUGUAUGGGUCGUGAGCUCUGGACGAGGACUUGGGUUGGAGAUUGUUCAGGGAGUGUAUGAGGGAAGAGGUGACAGGAGGGCCCACGGUAGCUCCUGUGGAUCACUGUCCUGAGGUCUGUUCACAGGCAGAAGAGUCUGCUCAGGAGCCUGAGGAAGAUUGGCCACAAAAAUAGAAGGCACCACCGAAGGAGGGGAGUUAUCAGUGUUAAAUGUUACUGAAAGGUCAAAUAAUAGAAGUGAUGGAAAUUGUCCACAAAUAGAAAAACUAAUAAAAAAAAUAUACUGUCUUUUUUCUGUCAUUUUAGAGCCCCCCAUGCGGCACAUGGAGGUUCCAGGCUAAGGGGUCGGGUUGGAGCUGUAGCCGAUGGCCUACACCACAGUCACGGCAAUGCUGAUCCUUAUCCCACUGAGCGAGGCCAGGAAUCAAACCUGCGUCCUCAUGGAUAUUAGUCAGAUUUGUUUCCACUGAGCCACGAAGGAAACUCCAACAUGUGCUGUCUUAAAGAUAAUUAUUUGCUUGUUUAUCUGGAAAGAAUCCCUAGAAAUUCCAUCUGGUUACAUUUACCAAGUGUCUGGGUUCCUACUAGGAUAGACCUUAAGAGCGUGGGUUCUGGAGCCUAAUUGCCUGGGUGAGCCUGCCAGUUCCACCCAGCACUCACUAGCUGUGUGGGCGUAGAUAAUUUAUUAAGCCCUCUGGGUCCCCACUCACUCAUCUGUAUGUAGAUUGGAAAUUAUAUACCAUCCCUGGGAUUGUCGUGAGGGUUAGAUGAGUUAAUGUAUGUACUGCAGCACCGUGUCUGGCACACACGCCCUUGGUAAAUUGUGGGAAUGCUGGGCAUUGCGGUGGGUGACAGGGAUGGAAAGAUGACUUGGGCUGCAGGCUCCACUCUGAGGGUGUGGGGAGUGGGAAGAGGCUUAAUUAUCAACAAAGCACAGUGAGUGGUAGGUGUCAGGUAAAGACCCUAAUAAGGUGCCAGAGAGGUUCUGCCAAGGAGUGCCAGAGGGGGUGAAGGCUGAGAUGGAUCUUGGAGGGGUGUGGUUUCACCCUGUGCAGGGCUGGAUGGGGGCGGGUGUGUUUCUGAAAGAAGGAACAGCAUUGGCAUCAAGAGUGCUUGAUGGGGCGAUCCCUUCGUGGCUCAGUGCUUAGAGAACCCGACUAGGAUCCAUGAGGAUGCGGGUUUGAUCCCUGGCCUUGCUCAGUGGGUUAAGGAUCUGGCAUUGCUUUGAGUUGUAGUGUAGGUCUCAGAGGCUGCUUGGAUCCUGCGUUGCUGUGGGUUUGGCGUAGGCCGGCAGCUACAGCUCCGUUUCCACCCCUAGCCUGGGGACCUCCAUAUGCCAUAGGUGUGGCCCUAAAAAGCAAAAAAAAAAAAGAAAAAAAAAGAAAAAA